rnacentral:rRNA from 1 species
AAACUUUGCAAUGUGCGAAAGCACGACAAGGUUAAUCCGAGUGGUUUCUGCUAAAGGAACCUUUUGUCAGUCCUAGAAACACUAACGAAUAAGGGGUGGGCAAGUUCUGGUGUCAGCCGCCGCGGUAAAACCAGCACCUCAAGUGGUCAGGAUGAUUAUUGGGCCUAAAGCAUCCGUAGCCGGCUCUGUAAGUUUUCGGUUAAAUCUGUACGCUUAACGUACAGGCUGCCGGGAAUACUGCAGAGCUAGGGAGUGGGAGAGGUAGACGGUACUCGGUAGGAAGGGGUAAAAUCCUUUGAUCUAUUGAUGACCACCUGUGGCGAAGGCGGUCUACCAGAACACGUCCGACGGUGAGGGAUGAAAGCUGGGGGAGCAAACCGGAUUAGAUACCCGGGUAGUCCCAGCUGUAAACUAUGCAAACUCAGUGAUGCAUUGGCUUGUGGCCAAUGCAGUGCUGCAGGGAAGCCGUUAAGUUUGCCGCCUGGGAAGUACGUACGCAAGUAUGAAACUUAAAGGAAUUGGCGGGGGAGCAC